rnacentral:rRNA from 1 species
UACGAAGGGGGCUAGCGUUGCUCGGAAUCACUGGGCGUAAAGCGCACGUAGGCGGAUCCUUAAGUCGGGGGUGAAAUCCUGGAGCUCAACUCCAGAACUGCCUUCGAUACUGAGGAUCUCGAGUCCGGGAGAGGUGAGUGGAACUGCGAGUGUAGAGGUGAAAUUCGUAGAUAUUCGCAAGAACACCAGUGGCGAAGGCGGCUCACUGGCCCGGUACUGACGCUGAGGUGCGAAAGCGUGGGGAGCAAACAGGGAUUAGAAACCCGGGUGAGACCCAGGAACCGUAACGUC